AGGCCUUUGGCGCAAAGGUAGCGCGUCCGCCUCCUAUUCUGUAGCGAGCGGAAGGCUGUGGGUUCGAGUCCCAUGAGGCCUG
rnacentral:tRNA from 2 species